rnacentral:rRNA from 1 species
AGCGAACGCUAGCGGCGGGCCUAACACAUGCAAGUCGAGCGCAUACCUUCGGGUAUGAGCGGCGGACGGGUGAGUAACACGUAGGUAAUCUACCCUUUGGUGGGGAAUAACCCGGGGAAACUCGGGCUAAUGCCGCACGAGGUCUACGGAUCAAAGCCUUCGGGCGCCAGAGGAUGAGCCUGCGUUGCAUUACCUAGUUGGCGGGGUAACGGCCCACCAAGGGGACGAUGCAUAGCUGGUCUGAGAGGAUGAUCAGCCACACUGGGACUGAGACACGGCCCAGACUCCUACGGGAGGCAGCAGUGGGGAAUAUUGCGCAAUGGGGGAAACCCUGACGCAGCUACGCCGCGUGGGUGAUGAAGGCCUUCGGGUUGUAAAGCCCUGUCGGGAGGGACGAAGUACUGACGGUACCUCCCAAGAAAGCACCGGCUAACUCCGUGCCAGCAGCCGCGGUAAU